GCUGAGCUGUGAUGGGGAAGCUCCUUAUGGAGCGAAGUCUUUGAUUCCCCGCUGCCAAGAAAAGCUUCUAGCGAGAUAAAAGGUGCCUGUACCGCAAACCGACACAGGUAGGCGAGGAGAGAAUCCUAAGGUGUGCGAGAGAACUCUGGUUAAGGAACUCGGCAAAAUGACCCCGUAACUUCGGGAGAAGGGGUGCUUUCUUAACGGAAAGCCGCAGUGAAUAGGCCCAAGCGACUGUUUAGCAAAAACACAGCUCUCUGCGAAGCCGUAAGGCGAAGUAUAGGGGGUGACACCUGCCCGGUGCUGGAAGGUUAAGGAGAGGGGUUAGCGUAAGCGAAGCUCUGAACUGAAGCCCCAGUAAACGGCGGCCGUAACUAUAACGGUCCUAAGGUAGCGAAAUUCCUUGUCGGGUAAGUUCCGACCCGCACGAAAGGUGUAACGAUUUGGGCACUGUCUCAACCAGAGACUCGGUGAAAUUAUAGUACCUGUGAAGAUGCAGGUUACCCGCGACAGGACGGAAAGACCCCGUGGAGCUUUACUGUAGCCUGAUAUUGAAUUUUGGUACAGUUUGUACAGGAUAGGCGGGAGCCAUUGAAACCGGAGCGCUAGCUUCGGUGGAGGCGCUGGUGGGAUACCGCCCUGACUGUAUUGAAAUUCUAACCUACGGGUCUUAUCGACCCGGGAGACAGUGUCAGGUGGGCAGUUUGACUGGGGCGGUCGCCUCCUAAAGUGUAACGGAGGCGCCCAAAGGUUCCCUCAGAAUGGUUGGAAAUCAUUCGUAGAGUGCAAAGGCAUAAGGGAGCUUGACUGCGAGACCUACAAGUCGAGCAGGGACGAAAGUCGGGCUUAGUGAUCCGGUGGUUCCGCAUGGAAGGGCCAUCGCUCAACGGAUAAAAGCUACCCCGGGGAUAACAGGCUUAUCUCCCCCAAGAGUCCACAUCGACGGGGAGGUUUGGCACCUCGAUGUCGGCUCAUCGCAUCCUGGGGCUGUAGUCGGUCCCAAGGGUUGGGCUGUUCGCCCAUUAAAGCGGUACGCGAGCUGGGUUCAGAACGUCGUGAGACAGUUCGGUCCCUAUCCGUCGUGGGCGUAGGAAAUUUGAGAGGAGCUGUCCUUAGUACGAGAGGACCGGGAUGGACGCACCGCUGGUGUACCAGUUGUUCUGCCAAGGGCAUAGCUGGGUAGCUAUGUGCGGAAGGGAUAAGUGCUGAAAGCAUCUAAGCAUGAAGCCCCCCUCAAGAUGAGAUUUCCCAUAGCGUAAGCUAGUAAGAUCCCUGAAAGAUGAUCAGGUUGAUAGGUUCGAGGUGGAAGCAUGGUGACAUGUGGAGCUGACGAAUACUAAUAGAUCGAGGACUUAACC
rnacentral:rRNA from 2 species